CCUACGGGAGGCAGCAGUGAGGAAUAUUGGUCAAUGGGCGAGAGCCUGAACCAGCCAAGUCGCGUGAGGGAGUACUGCCCUAUGGGUUGUAAACCUCUUUUGUCGGGGAGCAAAAGCCGGACGUGUCCGGCUGUGAGAGUACCCGAAGAAAAAGCAUCGGCUAACUCCGUGCCAGCAGCCGCGGUAAUACGGCGGAUGCGAGCGUUAUCCGGAUUUAUUGGGGUUAAAGGGUGCGCAGGCGGAUUAUUAAGUCAGCGGUCAAAUCGUGGGGCUCAACCCCAUCCAGCCGUUGAAACUGGGGAUCUAGAGUGUGCGAGAGGUAUGCGGAAUGCGUGGUGUAGCGGUGAAAUGCAUAGAUAUCACGCAGAACCCCGAUUGCGAAGGCAGCAUACCGGUGCACAACUGACGCUCAGGCACGAAAGCGUGGGUAUCGAACAGGAUUAGAUACCCUUGUAGUC
rnacentral:rRNA from 1 species